UCUUAGCCCUCCAGUGAAAGUUUCUGUGCCUCCUCUCCCUGCCUUGUGAAUUUCUUGGACCAUAGCAGUUUUAGUAACAAUCCUGGAGGCCAACUUAGUGUUAUCACCACAUUCUGUGUUAGGGGAAGUUGGGGAUUCUGCAAAAGACUCCUUUUAAUUUUGGCAUGAAUCAUAGAACACCACCCUACCCCGCUGGGGAUUAUUGUCUUCUGUGCAGAAGUGAGCGGAAAGACUCUUCAUUCUUAGAGAGCGGAAUUAAGACUGCGAGCAAAUUGGCCCUUUCUAUGGCCCCCAAGGGCAACAGCGUGCUGCACCUGCCACUGUGGGUAUGCCCAGACUGCCGGCGGACUGUGGAGAAGGAGGAGAGGCAUAGUGGCCUCGACCAGCCAUCGCAGGGCCAAGACUUUCUUCUUCACUCCCCUCUCAGCGGCUCGCAGCCGGAGGCGGGCGGCGGGAGGCUGGCCCUCGGCGCACAGACGCUGCCCUCGGCCGGGCUGGGCGCCGCUCCCACGGACGCCGCGUGUGCUUGCGAGGCCUGCAGCGAGCGCAGAGAGAUUUCGGCAGACACAGACCGGGAGCCCCAGCAGCUGCAGAACUACUGGUCAGAAGUGCGCUACAUGGUCCGCUGCAUUUACCGCCAGGCAGGGACUCCGCUGGCUGACGACCAAGACCAGAGUCUGGUGCCGGACAAGGAGGGGGUGAAGGAGCUCGUGGAUAGGCUCUGUGAGAGGGACCCUUACCAGCUGUACCAGCGGUUGGAACAACAGGCCAGAGAGUAUGUGCUGGAGAUGAAGGUCCGACUCCUCCGGCAGCUGUCGGCUGCGUCCAAAGUGAAAGCCCCGUCUGCCCUGCAGGGCCCUCCACAGGCACACCAGUUCAUCUCCCUCCUUCUCGAAGAGUACGGUGCCCUCUGCCAGGCGGCACGCACAAUCAGCACCUUCCUUGGCACGCUGGAAAACGAACACUUGAAAAAGUUCCAGGUGACGUGGGAGCUGCAUAAUAAACAUCUGUUUGAAAACCUGGUCUUUUCGGAGCCACUUCUCCAGAGCAACUUGCCGGCACUGGUGUCACAGAUCAGGCUGGGGACCACAACACACGACACGUGCAACGAGGACACGUACAGCACCCUGCUGCAACGGUACCAGCGCUCCGAGGAGGAGUUGCGCAGGGUGGCUGAGGAGUGGCUGGAGUGCCAGCAGAGGAUCGACGCCUAUGUCGAUGAGCAGAUGACCAUGAAAACCAAACAGCGCAUGCUGACAGAGGACUGGGAACUUUUCAAACAAAGGCGAUUCAUUGAGGAGCAGCUAACCAACAAGAAAGCAGUUGCUGGUGAGAACAAUUUCACGGACGCCAUGAGGCACAUGUUGUCCUCCCGACUGAGCAUGCCCGACUGCCCCAACUGCAACUACAGGAGAAGAUGUGCUUGUGAUGACUGCAGCCUCUCACACAUCCUCACUUGUGGUGUCAUGGACCCCCCCGUCACUGGCGACAUCCACAGUCACCAGCUGCCCCUCCAAGUGGAUUCUGCUCCCGACUAUCUCUCUGAGAUGCGCCCACCUAGCGUGUCCUCAGCAAGCUCAGGGUCAGGUUCCAGCUCUCCCAUUACAAUUCAGCAACAUCCCAGACUCAUCCUCACAGACAAUGGCUCUGCACCAACUUUUUGUAGUGAUGACGAAGACGUUGCACCAUUGUCAGCUAAGUUUGCUGAUAUUUAUCCAUUGAGUAACUACGACGAUACUGAGGUGGUGGCCAACAUGAAUGGAAUCCACAGCGAAUUGAAUGGUGGCGGGGAAAACAUGGCUCUGAAAGAUGAGUCCCCUCAGGUAAGCAGUACCAGCAGUAGCUCUUCCGAGGCUGACGACGAAGAGGCAGAUGGCGAAAGCAGUGGGGAGCCGCCAGGAGCCCCAAAGCAAGACGUGGCUCUAGGCAAUGGGAGCCCCAGGAAAGAGGAAAGUAAAGUGGACAGUCCACCCCCAUCUUACCCAACUCAGCAGGCUGAACAAACUCCAAACACUUGUGAAUGUCAUGUUUGUAAACAAGAAGCCUCUGGACUGACAGCAUCAGCAAUGACAGCUGGCGCUCUUCCUCCUGGCCAUCAGUUCAUGAGCCCAGAGAAGCCCACACACCCUGCUCUGCAUCUUUACCCCCACAUCCACGGACAUGUGCCUUUGCACGCAGUCCCACACCUGCCCCGCCCUCUCAUCCACCCCACCUUGUAUACAGCGCCCCCCUUCACACACAGUAAGGCUUUACCGCCAGCACCUGUUCAGAAUCACACAAAUAAGCAUCAGGUAUUCAAUGCAUCUCUUCAAGACCAUAUUUAUCCAAGCUGUUUUGGGAAUACUCCAGAGUGGAAUAGUUCUAAAUUUAUAAGUCUUUGGGGAUCAGAAGUGAUGAAUGAUAAGAACUGGAAUCCUGGCACUUUCUUGCCAGAUACAAUUUCUGGGGGUGACAUGCUAGGGCCAGCGCUGUCCGAACCCAGACCCGAAGCCCUCCCGCCUCCGCCCAGCGACGAGGCGCCCACCGUGUCGGAGAGCAAGGAGAAAAAAAGUGCCGCCAAACAGAAGUGCUUAUACAAUUUCCAAGACGCCUUCCUGGAGGCGAACAAAGUCGUGAUGGCCACGUCGUCCGCCACCUCCUCCGUAUCCUGCACAGCCACCACCGUGCAGUCAAGCAACAGCCAGUUCAAAGUGUCAUCCAAGAGGCCUCCCUCCCUAGGCGAGGUGUUCCACGGCGUCAGCAAGGAGGACCACAGACACGCGGUGCCGGCCGCCCCGAGGAACAGCCCCACGGGCCUGGCGCCGCUCCCCGCCCUCGCCCCUGCCGCCCUCGCCCCUGCCUCCUCGCCUCACCUCGCAAGUCUCGCAGCCCCGUCCUUCCCCAGCACCGCGGCCACGUCCCCCGGGUUUGUGGACACGCGCAAGAGCUUCUGUCCUGCUCCCGGAGCCCCCCCGCCCCCCACCACAGACGGCUCCCUCAGCGCCCCCCCCAGCGUCUGCAGUGACCCCGACUGCGAGGGGCACCGCUGUGAGAACGGCGUGUAUGACCCGCAGCAAGACGACGGGGACGAGAGCGCUGACGAGGACAGCUGCUCCGAGCACAGCUCCAGCACCUCGACCUCCACCAACCAGAAGGAGGGCAAGUACUGUGACUGCUGCUACUGUGAGUUCUUCGGGCACGGCGGGCCUCCGGCUGCACCAACAAGUAGGAAUUAUGCAGAAAUGAGGGAGAAGCUUCGUUUGCGGCUGACCAAGAGGAAAGAGGAACAGCCUAAGAAAGCGGACCAGCUCUCCGAGAGGGAGGGUGUGGUUGACCAUCGCAGGGUGGAGGACCUUCUGCGGUUCAUAAACAGCUCCGAGCCCAAGCCAGUGAGCAGCACCCGAGCCGCCAAGCGAGCCAGGCACAAGCAGAGAAAGCUGGAAGAGAAGGCGCGCCUGGAAGCAGAGGCCCGGGCCCGGGAGCACCUGCACCUCCGGGAGGAGCAGCGGCGGCAGGAGGAGGAGGAGGAGUUUCAGCGGCUUCAGGAGCUUCAGAAGCUGAGGGCUGUGAAAAAGAAGAAGAAGGAGAGGCCAAGCAAAGACUGUCCCAAGUUGGACAUCCUUGCUAGAAACUUCCAGGCAGCAGCAGAGUCUGUACCUAACUCUGAAAACAUGCACAAUGGCUCACUAGAGCAAAUGGAAGAACCAGAGACCUCACCUCACUCCCCUUCCAGACACGGGGACCACUCAGAGCCUGGGCCGGGGCCGGGGGCCGAUGGCGACGCCACCGACCCCAUGGACGCCAGAGACUCCAAGCUCCUCCUCCCGAAGGAGGUCAGCGGGAAGCAGCAGGAGCCGCUGUCUUUCCUCCUUGACAUCAUGCAUCAGCACAAGGAGGGGAGUGGCAAGCAAAAGCUCAAGCAGACCAGUAAGGCCAGCAGCGAGCCGGCAAGAAGGCCGGCCGAGCCCCCCAAGGCCUCCGAGAGCCAGCCCAGACCCCGGCCCCAGACUGAGUCGAAGGCAAAAGUCCUGGACCUCACUUCCCUGGCAGAGCAGAAAAGAGAGGAGAGGAAAGUCAACAGUAACAACAAUAACAAAAAGCAGCUGAACCACGUCAAGGAAGAAAGGUUGAAUCUGGCCCCCCAGGAGCCUGCCUCCCCCAGCGAGCACCCUCAGGACAGCAAGCUGGUGCCCGCAGACUCUCCUCAGCCCAAGGGCAAGAGCAAGAAAAACAGGAAGAAGAAAGGAGACAGAGUCAGCAGCUCAAUCGAUGAUGUCUUUCUGCCUAAAGAUAUCGACCUAGACAGCGUGGACAUGGACGAGACGGAGAGGGAAGUGGAGUAUUUCAAAAGAUUCUGUUUGGAUUCGGCUAGACAGACCCGACAAAGACUGUCCAUCAACUGGUCCAAUUUUAGCUUGAAAAAGGCCACUUUUGCCGCCCACUGAAUGAGGACCGCCUGGAGAGGGACACGCAGGAGAUCCCUCCAGGCAGUUUGUGGGAGUCUCCGGUGGAGCCCCCAUCCUGUUCCCACCCGCUUCCCGGAGCACCCCGGAGCCCCACUGCUCCCCACUCUUGGACUUCUGGACUGACGGCAUGCAGGUGGGACAGAGCAGAGGCAAGAGGGACUCCUGAGGCUCUGCUCUGAGCCCUGGGCGGGACGGGGUCAAGUCUGGGGUGCUCAUCAGAAGCCCAGGUGGGAGGAAGGACAGCAUAUCUCUGCUCCUGGGAUGACCCAGCAGAUCGAGGAGCAGGCUGGGUGGUGACCACAGGAGCCAUGUCCUCAAAAGGCCCUGAUGUGCCUCCAGGACUCCCAGGCCCAGGCCUCGUCCCUUCCCGGUGAGCGUGAGGGUAACCGGGCUGGCUGGGCAAAUGCUGGGGAGGGUCCCGGGGAGCUUGCAAACCUGGACCCUGCCAUCUGGGGAACCUGCCCGCCCAGGCCCACCCCUGAGACCCUGCCCGUGCCCCACCCCAUCCUUCUCAUGAGUUGGAAGCAGUCCCACCUGUGGGCCGCAGCUUUCAUCUGUCCUGGGGGCCACAGUGGCCAAGGGGUCCUACCUGUGACAUGAGCAGGGCCUUGUCGGGGCCAGGAGUGGUGAGGGGGACCCCUGGGCACCCCAACACAGUGUCCACACACACCCAUGUCUCCACCUAAGUUGGCCCCACCUGCCCCCCUGCCACACCCCUGCCCCCCUCACACACGGGCCAGCCACCUAGGCCUUAUUCUGGCCUUUCUGCUUGAAAUCGGGAGAAUGCCCUUCCCACGUUCCACACAAGGCCCAACCCUUUCGCUCCUUUGGGUCUUUCCCUGAGUGGGGGUUGGGGGGGGUGGGGUUGUCUCUUUACCAUUCCCAGUUCUCAGGAACAGAACACUGAGGAUGGAUUUCGGGCCUGGGAGGCCCAGGACAGUCCAGGGGUAGGAAAAGGUGGAGGGUCGAGGCUGGCAGGGCUUCCUUAGUUCAGCCCCUCCCACACAGGUGGAGGCAGGCCCAGGCCAAGACACUGGAUACUGUGUCGUCCUGCCCAGGCAUUUCAUUUACUGGUGGGGAAACCAAGGCCCAAGGUGUGCCUGCGAGACAUCUGGCCCCAGUGCUACUGUCUUCACAGGGGCCUCGGCCCGAGGGUCAGAUCGCGUUGGAGUGUCCCCUCCUUUACACAACAGAUGAUCACGAGAUGAAAUAAAAUAACAGUAGCUAGAAAAGAAACAGUGAAAAUGCCCUUUCGUUGAACUUUGUCUACAUAGUCAGGCCAUUAAAAAAAAUAUUAUCAAAAUGAGCAUUAUGGUACCAAAAAGGACUAACAUUUCUUCAUUAAUAUAUUUUUUUAAAGAACAAAAAACUUACCUCACAGGUCACACUGUGUCGCGGUUUUAAACACAAAUAAAACCUCUCGGUCACACACGCAAUGACAAUUGAA